UUGGUGCAUGGCCGUUCUUAGUUGGUGGAGCGAUUUGUCUGGUUAAUUCCGAUAACGAACGAGACUCUAGCCUGCUAACUAGGCGUAUUUUCGACAUCUCAAAGGCCCGCCGGCCCGGCGCUCGCGUCGCGGCCGCGCGCGGUUUUUACUGUCGGCGUACAAUUAAUUCUUCUUAGAGGGACAGGCGGCUUUCAGCCGCACGAGAUUGAGCAAUAACAGGUCUGUGAUGCCCUU
rnacentral:rRNA from 1 species